GAGAAAACAAGGAAACAAAUGAUAUUUCUUUCCCUUCUUAUCUUGCUUCUCACAAUGGGAAAAGAGUCUUUAUCAACACCACCACCACAGCCUCUGCCUGCUCCUGGCAAGCACUUUGUGCUAAUACACGGUGCAGGUCACGGUGCCUGGUCCUGGUACAAACUUGUGCCCCUGCUAAGACUUUCCGGCCACAAUGUUACUGCAAUUGACCUGGCAGCUUCCGGGAUUCAUCUUCAGCAGGCUAAAACUCUCCGGUCGGUGUCUGAUUAUAUCCGGCCGCUAAGGGAUUUCCUGGCAGCUCUGCCACCGCAAGAAAGAGUGAUCCUUGUUGGUCAUAGCUUCGGUGGGGUUGCACUUUCCCAAGCCAUGGAAAGAUUUCCUGAGAAAAUUUCUGUCGCAGUUUUUCUCACUGCACUAAUGCCUGGCCCAUCCUUCAACAUUUCUACUCUUUUCAAAGAGGUAUUCAACAUUUCUACUAUCAUACUUUCUUUUCUUUCAACUUCUCAUUUUCAGAUGUUUUCCUUGCGAGCCUGUUGAAGUUUUCAAGCGGGCAACUUCCUGAACUGGACAACCACUAUGCAUAUGAUGAUGGCCCAAACGAUCCUCCAACCACUGAAUUUUUUGGCCCAAUUUUCUUGAAAAAUGUAUUGUAUCAGCUCAGCCCACUUGAGGAUUGGACAUUGGCAACAUAUUUGGUAAGGCCAAGACGUUUGUUUAGUUAUGAAGACAUGUCAAGGGAGAUCCUGCUGACAACAGACAAGUAUGGAUCGGUUAGAAAGGUCUUUAUAAUUGCAGAAGAAGAUUUGAUAAUAAAGAAGGAUUUUCAACAGUUGAUGAUACAGAAAAAUCCACCCAAUGAAGCACAAACUGUUCUUGGAUCUGAUCAUAUGGUUAUGAUGUCUAAACCUAUGGAUCUUUGUACUAUUCUACUACAAAUUGCUGACAAAUAUGUCUGAUUUCACCACUUCUUUAUAAGGAUGUUACGUGUAUGUUAGAAAUGUAAGGGUAAACAUUGUUAAUAAACGUAUAAUUUUAUGUGUUAA
rnacentral:misc_RNA from 1 species